rnacentral:rRNA from 1 species
UUAUAAAUAAAAUUUGAUUAAAUAGAGAUUAAAUGAAAUCAUUAAAUUUAAAUAAUUUGGCGGUAUUUUAAAUAGUUAGAGGAAUUUGUUAAUUAAAUGAUACUCCACGAAUGGAUUGUCCUAAUAAAUUUUUAUGUAUUGUUGUAAAAAAAUUAUUUUAUAAGAAUAAUAAUUAUUAAAUUUGAUGAAAUUAGAAUUCAAAUCAAAAUGUAGAAUUGUUAGGUUUCAAUGAAUUACAAUUUAAAUUAAUAAUAGAAUUAAUUUUUUAAUUAAAUUAGUGAAAAAGGAUUUAAAAGUAAAUUAAAAAAAUAUUUAAAUUGAAAUAAUAAUUAAAUCG